GGGGAUGUAGCAGUUGCACAAAUUUUUAAGUGUGCCAACUGGGCUGCAUGGGCUCAAGAAAUAAGUUACAGAGGCAAAAGAAGGACCCUUGGAGCUUAGG